UACGAACUGUGCGAACGUUAUUCGGAAUCACUGGGCUUAAAGGGUGCGUAGGCGGCCAUGUAAGUGGGGUGUGAAAUCCCUCGGCUCAACCGAGGAACUGCGCUCCAUACUGCAUGGCUUGAGGGAGACAGGGGUAAGCGGAACUGAUGGUGGAGCGGUGAAAUGCGUUGAUAUCAUCAGGAACACCGGUGGCGAAAGCGGCUUACUGGGUCGUCUUCUGACGGCUGAGGUACGAAAGCUAGGGGAGCGAACGGG
rnacentral:rRNA from 1 species